CCUACGGGUGGCAGCAGUGAGGAAUAUUGGUCAAUGGCCGGGAGGCUGAACCAGCCAAGUCGCGUGAGGGAAGACGGCCCUACGGGUUGUAAACCUCUUUUGUCAGGGAGCAAGGUGCAGGUCGGGAACUGCUGUGAGAGUACCUUACGAAAAAGCAUCGGCUAACUCCGUGCCAGCAGCCGCGGAAAGACGGAGGAUGCGAGCGUUAUCCGGAUUUGUUGGGUUUAAAGGGUGAGCAGGCGGUGGCACAAGUCAGCGGUAAAAUCGCGGGGCUCAACCCCGCUCCGCCGUUGAAACUGUGUGCCUUGAGUGCGCGAAGGGUAGGCGGAAUGCGUGGUGUAGCGGUGAAAUGCAUAGAUAUCACGCAGAACUCCGAUCGCGAAGGCAGCCUACCGGCGCGCAACUGACGCUCAUGCACGAAAGCGUGGGUAUCGAACAGGAUUAGAUACCCGGGUAGUC
rnacentral:rRNA from 1 species